rnacentral:snoRNA from 12 species
CUCUGAUGAUGACUCCUGUUUUGUGCCACGUGUCUGGGCCACUGAAUGCUCAUGAUGGCAAUGAGGAUCUGAAGAA